AUGGGCGAAAGUCUGACCCAGCGACGCCGCGUGUGUGAAUAAUGCCUUCGUGUUGUAAACCACUGUCUGGGAUUAGCAACCAACCGGUGUGAAUAGCGCCGGGAGUUGAGGAGUCCCAGACGAAGUCAGGGGUAACUUCGUGCCAGCAGCCGCGGUACUACGAAGGUGGCUAGCGUCGUUCGGAAUCACUGGGCUUAGAGAGCACGUACGCGGAUGAUCACGCGUCUUGUGAAAGCCCUCGGCUCAGGCGGGGAAUUGCUUGGGGAACUGAUCAUCUUGAGGCAGGUAGGGGCGAAUGGAACUCUUGGUGGAGCGGUGGAAUGCUUAUAUAUCAAUAGGAACGCCAGAGGCGAAGGCGACUCGCUGUUCCUGACCUGACGCCCGAGGUGCGAAAGCCAAGGGAGCGAACGGGGAUUAGAUACCCCGGUAGUCCUGGCCAUUAACGAUGUCCACUAGGUCGGUGUAGGUUCUAAGGCUUUGAUGCCCGAAACGAUAGCGUUAAGUGGACCGCCUGGGGAGUACGAUCGCAAGGGUAAAACUCAAAGGAAUUGACAGGGGGCUCACACAAGCGGUGGCAGCAUGUUCGCAUAAUUCGAUCGCUACGCGAAGAACCAUAUCCUGGGCAUUGACAUACACAGGAUGCCCUCCUGGUUACAGGUCGGCUUGCCCAUCGGGUGAUACGUAUACUCGGUGUUGCAUGGCGGUAGUCAGCUCGUAUCGUGAGAUCUUGGGUUAAGUCCCGUAACGAGCGAAACGCCGUUGUCGCUAGUGGCCAUGCGCGUAAUGUCGGGGACUCUAGCGAGACUGCCGUUGUUAAACCAGGAGGAAGGUGGGGACGACGUCAAGUCAGUCAUGGCACUUUAGGCCCAGGGCUGCGUACGUGCUACAAUGGUAGGGACAGAGCGACGCAAGACCGUGAGGUGGACCAAAUCGCAAAAACCAUGCCCCAGUUCGGAUCGGAGUCU
rnacentral:rRNA from 1 species